rnacentral:tRNA from 1 species
GGAGAGAUGGCCGAGUGGUUUAAGGCGCACGCUUGGAAAGUGUGUGUACUUUCAAAGGUACCGUGGGUUCGAAUCCCACUCUCUCCGCCA